rnacentral:lncRNA from 1 species
AUGAACUUUCAGGAAGCGGCACAUCCGCGGAACAAACCCCUGCCCAGAGCAGGAAACGCAAUGUCCCAGAACCCCAGCAGCCCGGCUUCCCCAGCCCCAUCCCGCUUCCAGAAAGGAACCACUGUCUCGAGCUGGACACCGCAGGCCGCUCAGAGCUGUCCGGGCCUCGCACCCUCGCUCGCUGUGCCUGCUCCAGGUCCACGGCUGCCGCUCCUUCACGGCUCCAUUGUUGAGGGCAGGGGUCCUGUUUGCGCCAUGAGGAUGAAAGCUGCCAUGGACGUCUGUUCCUGCCUCUCGCACACUCACGCCCGGAGUUCCCCAAGCUUUAUUGAUUCUCACACCGUAGAAUCCACUCACUUCAAGCCCAUGAUGCAGGGGCUCUCAGGGAGCUCACGUCGUCCUGCGACCGUCACUGUGAUCAACCCUGGAAUGUGUUCGUCACUGAAAAAGAAAUUCCCAUUGCCCUCAACCCUCCUUGAUGUUCCGCUUUUUAUCAUGAAUGGUGAUAAACUUCAUAAAAUCCUGUCUGACGUUUUUGAGGUAACCAAACAUUGUUCUUCAUUCUUCAUUAUCUUCAUGAGGUGAUUACACAGACUUUUUAUUUGUUGGUUGGUUGGUUUUUUGAGAUGGAGUCUCCCUCUGUUGCCCAGGCUGGGGUCCAGUGGUGCGAUCUUGGCUCACUCUAACCUCCACCUCCUGGGUUCAAGUGAUUCUCCUGUCUCAGCCUCCUGAGUAGCUGGGAUCAUGGGCGCCCACCGCCACACCCGGCUAAUUUUGUAUUGUUAGUAGAGACAGGGUUUCACCAUGUUGGUCAGGCUGGUCUCGAAAUCCUGAAUUCAGGUGACCCACCGUCUUGGUCUCCCAAAGGGCUGGGAUUACAGGCACAAGCCACCGCACACUGUUUGUUAAAUAUUAAACCAAUUUUACCAUCCUGGAAUAAUCCGAACUUGUCCAUCAUGCAUAAUUUUUACAACACUGGCUUCGGUUCACCACAAAUAAACUUGGGGUUUUAUAAUCUAUGUUCCUUGACCAUAAGACUUAAUCCACAUUUCCGACAGUGUCCUUGCGGUUGAUUGCUGCGACGGGAAUUAUGAGGUCACAGGCUGCCCUUAUCUUCAGGGUAGACACGUACGUCACAGAAUUCUCUAUAAAAAACUGAGUUACGCUCCCGCCAGCAGGAAUUAGGGAUCUUCUAUUCACUGAACUUUCACUCGCAGUAGGUAAUAUUAUUUAUUUAAAACCUUCACUAAUUUCAUAAGCUUAACAACAUACAGCUGAAAUAUACCAAAGAGCUUCUGGAAUCCUUUGUAAAGGGGAUUUGAUCCUUAAUCAAUGUAGUGUUUGUGCCUCUCGGAUUGUAUUGAAAUGGGGCACCCUUCCCGGAUUGUAUUGACAUGGGGCAC